UACGAAGGGGGCUAGCGUUGCUCGGAAUGACUGGGCGUAAAGGGCGCGUAGGCGGUUCGUACAGCCAGACGUGAAAUUCCCGGGCUCAACCUGGGGGCUGCGUUUGAUACGUACGGGCUUGAGUUCGGAAGAGGGUCGUGGAAUUCCCAGUGUAGAGGUGGAAAUUCGUAGAUAUUGGGAAGAACACCGGUGGCGAAAGGCGGCGACCUGGUCCGAUACUGACGCUGAGGCGCGAAAGCGUGGGGGGAGCAAACAGG
rnacentral:rRNA from 1 species